ensembl:ncRNA B0350.77 ncRNA
CUCAGUCAGCAAAAAUAUAAUUAUCUAAUAACUAAACUUUGAAUGUUUCAGUAUGUCAUCAAGACACGACACCAAUUUAUCCAAAAUAAUAUUAUGUGGAUCUGAAUGUCUACC